AGUGAACGCUGGCGGUAGGCCUAACACAUGCAAGUCGAACGGCAGCACAGUAAGAGCUUGCUCUUACGGGUGGCGAGUGGCGGACGGGUGAGGAAUACAUCGGAAUCUACUUUUUCGUGGGGGAUAACGUAGGGAAACUUACGCUAAUACCGCAUACGACCUACGGGUGAAAGCAGGGGAUCUUCGGACCUUGCGCGAUUGAAUGAGCCGAUGUCGGAUUAGCUAGUUGGCGGGGUAAAGGCCCACCAAGGCGACGAUCCGUAGCUGGUCUGAGAGGAUGAUCAGCCACACUGGAGCUGAGACACGGUCCAGACGACUACGGGAGGCAGCAGUGGGGAAUAUUGGACAAUGGGCGCAAGCCUGAUCCAGCCAUACCGCGUGGGUGAAGAAGGCCUUCGGGUUGUAAAGCCCUUUUGUUGGGAAAGAAAAGCAGCAGGUUAAUACCCCGCUGUUCUGACGGUACCCAAAGAAUAAGCACCGGCUAACUUCGUG
rnacentral:rRNA from 1 species